CAGCAGCCACGGGAAUACGAAGGGUGCAAGCGUUAAUCGGAAUUACUGGGCGUAAAGCGCACGCAGGCGGUUUGUUAAGUCAGAUGUGAAAUCCCCGAGCUUAACUUGGGAACUGCAUUUGAAACUGGCAAGCUAGAGUCUUGUAGAGGGGGGUAGAAUUCCAGGUGUAGCGGUGAAAUGCGUAGAGAUCUGGAGGAAUACCGGUGGCGAAGGCGGCCCCCUGGACAAAGACUGACGCUCAGGUGCGAAAGCGUGGGGAGCAAACAGGAUUAGAUACCCCAGUAGUCCCUGUCUCUUAUAU
rnacentral:rRNA from 1 species